rnacentral:lncRNA from 1 species
CGUGUCUAUGUGAGUUUGAAGGACCAGUCUCUCUCUGUUCUGUGUCUCACAGCUGACUAGGAACUUGCCAGGGAGCUCCCGGAGGGCAGAUCCCUUCCUGCCUAAAGGUUUUCAUCUACUCCCAGCUACAGGGGCAUUCUGUGACUUGAAAACAUCAGUGGAGAUGAACAAAGUUUCCAGCACUAGAGUUCUGAUACAGGGGUCCCUUAGGCAAUUUCUUCUAUGCAUCUGAUGAGAGGGAGGAUCUGGAAGUUGGCGAUGGCAUGAGUGGAGAUAGAAAAGCAGGCAGAGGCUGAGAAUACUUUUGAAGACCUGAAAUUUAGGCCACUGAUUAUUUUAUUUAUAAAGCAAGGACUAUGAUGAGAUGUUCACUCCUGGCUCAGGUAGUAAAAAUAUCUGUGAGGUGACGUGUAAGCAAAUGUGCAGCAAUCGGUUUAAAAUCAUCAAGAUGCUCAAAGAUGCACAGAUCUUGGGGUGACUCAGCCAGCUGCUGUCUGUAGGCAAGGGGUUCUAUAAACAGGUCUUAGACUCCAGGCAAGGCUUCUUGCCAUGUGGAUUGCAACAGUUCUGCCAGAUG